UACGGAGGGAGCUAGCGUUGUUCGGAAAUACUGGGCGUAAAGCGCACGUAGGCGGCGCAGUAAGUCGGGUGUGAAACCCUCAGGCUCAACCUGGGGACGCCACUCGAUACUGCUGUGGCUAGAGUCCAGUAGAGGAGUGUGGAAUUCCCGGUGUAGCGGUGAAAUGCGUAGAUAUCGAGAGGAACACCUGCGGCGAAGGCGGGUAGCUGGGCCGACACUGACGCUGAUGCGCGAAAGCCAGGGGAGCGAAGCGGG
rnacentral:rRNA from 1 species